AUUGAACGCUGGCGGCAGGCCUAACACAUGCAAGUCGAACGAGUGGCGGACGGGUGAGUAAUGUCUGGGAAACUGCCUGAUGGAGGGGGAUAACUACUGGAAACGGUCGCUAAUUCCGCAUACCAUCAGAUGUGCCCAGAUGGGAUUAGCGAGUUGGUGGGGUAACGGCUCACCAAGGCGAAGAUCCCUAUCUGGUCUGAGAGGAUGACCUGCCACAGUGGAACUGAGACACGGUCCAGACUCCUACGGGAGGCAGCAGUGGGGAAUAUUGAACGAGGGGCGCAAGCCUGAUGCAGCCAUGCCGCGUGUAUGAAGAAGGCCUUCGGGUUGUAAAGUACUUUCAGCGGGGAGGCGUUACCCGCAGAAGAAGCACCGGCUAACUCCGUGCCAGCCGCCGCGGUAAUAC
rnacentral:rRNA from 1 species